UACUCCCGUGAUCUAGCACACACCUAGACUCCCAGCUGUAGAAUUUCCACCACAAUACAAUAUAAAGAGUUUGGACAUCACCAGCGACAUGUACUUUCAAAUUUCAGGGUGUGAGAACCAAAACUCGUUGUGAACGUCAGCCGUCUGCUCACUGUUGAACUGGUUCAUCACGUUUUUAACAAACACCAAGACGAACACGCUGCACAUAUGGAUUUGAACCGAGAGUUGCACGACCCACUUAUUCAGACUCCCGGGGAGGUUUGUGAGAAUCUGUAUCUGGAAAAGGUAAACAGUCCUAUCGUCGUCCUCACUGUGAUUCCUCUGAACCUCACAGCGCGAGGAGCCUCCACGUCAAAGCCGUUCACAUCCUGCUGAAAGAACAGGAGGCAAUUAAACCGGAUCCGCACCGGCACGGCAGCAACACACUCUGGAGCCAAAUGCAGAUCGGUGCAUUAACAUGCAGGCCAGAGUGAGAUAGAUGCAUUCAGGAGACAGAAAGAAGUGGGGCAGCAGAGAGAGGAGGAGGAGGAAGAAGAAAGGAGAAGAGAGAGCCUGUAGCCUUCUUAAUAGGGCUGCUCGGAAUCUUGGGGAUGAAGGCUGUUGUAAAGUUUCCAAGGUCGAAGCAGCGACGGGUAGAAGACGAACACGGACCGCAACGGGACGAGUGUGGAAGGAAGCCGGGCGCCAACGCCUCUUUAAAACCUACACAUACAUGUCGCAGGACAGGAACAACUGGAAUCUCAGAGGGAAGACGCAAUACGACUUUCCCAACAGCUGCAUCCCCUUCAAUGAAAUGGGGGGGAAGAAAUACCUUUGACUGAGUAAAACCGAUAAAUAAAACAGGCUGGGGUCUGGCAAAGUAUUUACUCAAA